GGAGGGAAGAGCUCAAAUGGUAGAGCGCUUGCUUAGCAUGCACAAGGUCCUGGGUUCAAUCCCCAGUACCUCCU
rnacentral:tRNA from 1 species